GGAGUUAUAGUAGGCUCCAUCAAGGACCGAAUUCGAAUCGUGACAACAAGCCACCAUGAUAUACGAUGAAACCCCAUGAGUGCCGCCCAAACUUUUGUCCUCUCUCCACUAAUCUCUCUUUGUCAGCGCCGACGAGAACAAGGCAACAGCCGUCGCAACUCCCUUCCCUCCCUCCGUUCUCUCCCUCAUCACCGUCGACUUUCACACAUCAGUGGAACCCCAUGAAAAUCAGCAAAAUCCGACCAAAUCACCAACCACUUCGGAGAAAAGCUCUGCACAUAAGCUUCAAAGGCUCCCUAUCAUAAGGUCGCUUUAUGAAUUUGUCCAUGCUUAUUACUUGUUAAUUCUGAGUAAGCUAGCCGGCCGGUGGGAGCGAGAAGUUUGGGAUAUGUUUGGUAAGGAUUUUAGAAUCAUAGGGAAUUUUGCCUAAUGAAUUGGUAUCUGUAGAACCUUGGUUAGCUACAGCAGAUAUGAAGAAGCUUGAUAUGAUAUUUCUACUGAUUAACUGAUGUGAUAAAUGCUUGAUUACUUGAUUUUAAGCACAAUAUUGAUAUCUCCUGGUCUGAUUUUACAUGUUUUGACUCACUGUUAACCUUUUCUAGUUGACAAUGUGUGGUCACUUAACUAUUCUUAGCAAGCUAUAAAGUAUUUAAGUUAAAUUUUGUAUAACUCGUUGCUUUCCUUUAAUCUGAGCUCCUUGUUACUUGCUUUAUCUUUGGUAAACAUCAAUUUAGUCUUAUAAUUUAUUGACUUGAUUAUCUUACUCGCCUAUUUAUAGUAAAUAUGAAUUUAAUUGAUUCAACUAAUCCAUGCAAGUAAAGUUCAUCAAUUAGCUCCCUUCUUCAAACAGACUUGAUUGUUCAAGUUCUUUAUGGUAAAUUUCACAUUUUCUUCCUUGGCUCAUACAGAUUUCUAGUUGUUUUUAUGAUAAACUUUGAUAUAGUAAAAGUCUAUAUAUAUUACUUUGUGGCCUGAAUAGUUGGGAUCCCUUUUUUUAGUUUAUGGCAAAUUCGAUUCAAUCUCUACUCAAUUGAUUCUUCUCACCUGAUUAAAGAAAAUAAUCUUACUGAAUGAUUGAUUUUCUUUUUAUAGAAUAUUUCUCUCCCAUGACUGACUCUAUAUUUUUUACUAUAUAAUCUACAUAUUUUGGACACACUUGACAUCACUGGAUACCCACUAGAAAUUGAUACACUUCACAUAUUUUACACCAUUGGAAUAAAAAGACACUUGGCUAUGGUUGGGCAUCACUGAUCACUGGGAAGAAAACUUUUUACUCACUUUUCCACAUGACUUUUACACCUUGAUGAAUACAAGCUCUAGCAUUUUGGCCUACUUUUGAGUUCUAUCUCUUUGUUGUUGGCCUGCCUCGAUCUAAAACAAAUUUACUUUGACACAAGUACUGCUCGGAAUUCUUGAGAUUCUAGUGAACUUGACGUGUUAAAAAUUGGAUGUUGAUUUUACAAACUCGAAUUACUAUUUUUCUGUUGCGAUUGGACUUUCUGGAUCUCUUAUUAUUAAUCUACAUUCAACCGCUUAGUUCUCUUAAAUGACACAUUUAAUAAUGUGUUAGUUCCAUGCAUCUUUAAAUUUUGUAUUAUUUGAGCAUUUAAAAAACUCGAAUGCCUUAAGCAUUCUAUGGAAGACGUCCAGGUCAGUUUUCAAACUCAAUCUCUCUCUGUAUGAAAUAGUUGCUUAUCUUGAUAAUUACAUUCUCUUCUUUGUUUGCUUAUAAACAUUAUAAUAUAUAUCUUGUAUUCUCGUAUAGUGGUCGUUUGUGUUCUCUUUAUAUUUGUUAGGGAUUGAACAUAAAGUUCAAGACACGGAGAAGAGUUUGCCUGGGUCGGGAAAAGAUCUGGAUAGUUUUUCUUUGUUUAAUUUUGUUAAUAGUUUAUGUUCAACUAUUUCUUUUCAUUUUGAUUAGGAAUAAUUUUGUAUCUAUCGCUAUAUAUAAUAAAAUAAAUUACGGGGCUUCUACUA